rnacentral:rRNA from 1 species
UGACCUCAGAUCAGGUAGGAUUACCCGCUGAACUUAA